AACGAACGCUGGCGGCGUGCCUAACACAUGCAAGUCGAGCGCGAAAGGAGCAAUCCGAGUAGAGCGGCGCACGGGUGCGUAACACGUGGGUAAUCUGCCUCAGGGUUGAGGAUAACCUUCCGAAAGGUUGGCUAAUACUCGGUAAGCUUACGGUGACUUCGGUCGCUGUGAGAAAACUAGACCUCUAUUUAUAAGUUUAGGCCCAGAGAUGAGCCCGCGGCCCAUCAGCUAGUUGGCGGGGUAACGGCCCACCAAGGCAACGACGGGUAGCUGGUCUGAGAGGACGAUCAGCCACACUGGAGCUGAGACACGGUCCAGACUCCUACGGGAGGCAGCAGUGGGGAAUUUUCCACAAUGGGCGAAAGCCUGAUGGAGCAACGCCGCGUGUGUGAUGAAGGUCUUCGGAUCGUAAAGCACUUUCGACCGGGACGAAAAACCUCUGGCUAACAUCCAGGGGCCUGACGGUACCGGGAGAAGAAGCACCGGCUAACUCUGUGCCAGCCGCCGCGGUAAAAC
rnacentral:rRNA from 1 species